AGGCAGUGCAUUGUGGGGGAGGAAAAGAAGGAAGGAGUGAAGAGGGCAUGGGAGGGAGGGUGUAGGGAGACAGUUGGUUGGGGUAGGGAGGAAGAGUGAGAACGGGAAGGAAGAAAGUGAUGGUAGAAAUAAAGUGAUAUAAAUAACAUCACCGUCCAUUCUCUCUCCUCAAACCAACUGACCUAACAACCCAUUGCAAAACUAUUCCUGCAGUGCUAACACCCAGACCUGCAUGGGGCCCUGUGUGGCUCAAACUAUGAAGGGAAUUAAAGGUAACUUGGCAACAGUGCUGACGUCACACUAGUCAGCUCUCAGGCAGGAGUGGGUGUGCUGUGUGUUGUGUAAGUGUGAAGACGUGUGUGCUGUGCUGCCUCGCGUGUACUGGUGUGUGUUGUUCUAUGUGGGUGUAGUGUGUGUGUGUGUGUGUGUGUGUGACUCUGGAAACACUGGCCAUGCGCUGGAGUACAGAAGACGUGGGUAGUGUUGUGUUAGCUAAGGCAGGAACACAGGAGUCAAGAAACAGCCUGUGGGAGUGUUUACUUCCGUGCAUCGACCAGGAGGAGUUAAAAUCCCGAACUUCCUGGAUGUUCACAGUAUUCCUUCAGUUCACAGUGCGGAAAAAUGCAACUUGAAGGCUGAAGCAUCCUGAAGGCUGCUGAAUGCCCUGACCAGAGCGGCAGUUGUGUGAAGUACUGCCGCCCCGCCGCCGCUGUCUGGGAGUGUGCUGCCUUUUGGAUCAAAGUAAGCCGAGGGUCAUUAUCCACUCAUCUACCUGUACAUUAGCGGCGCCAGGUGAGCAUAGAUUGGAGAUUUCUUUAUUACUUUACCUGUUCUUACCUGCUGUGUGCAAUUAAUACUUUACCUGUGUUGAUUACCUUAUUCACCUUGCCUCUGUCAGCACGACGAGACAGCCUCCUCUUGUCCUUCAGGUGUGGGAGUGAAGGAAAGGAGUGAAGGAGGUAAAAAGCGAAGGUGAAUAGGAAUAGACAGCUGAAAAUAUUCUCUUAUGGAUUCUCUCUAUUUUUGAG